rnacentral:rRNA from 1 species
GACGAACGCUGGCGGCGUGCCUAAUACAUGCAAGUAGAACGCACAGUUUAUACCGUAGCUUGCUACACCAUAGACUGUGAGUUGCGAACGGGUGAGUAACGCGUAGGUAACCUGCCUGGUAGCGGGGGAUAACUAUUGGAAACGAUAACUAAUACCGCAUAAUAUUAAUUAUUGCAUGAUAAUUGAUUGAAAGAUGCAACUGCAUCACUACCAGAUGGACCUGCGUUGUAUUAGCUAGUAGGUGAGGUAACGGCUCACCUAGGCGACGAUACAUAGCCGACCUGAGAGGGUGAUCGGCCACACUGGGACUGAGACACGGUCCAGACUCCUACGGGAGGCAGCAGUAGGGAAUCUUCGGCAAUGGACGAAAGUCUGACCGAGCAACGCCGCGUGAGUGAAGAAGGUUUUCGGAUCGUAAAGCUCUGUUGUAAGAGAAGAACGGGUGUGAGAGUGGAAAGUUCACACUGUGACGGUAUCUUACCAGAAAGGGACGGCUAACUACGUG